UGGGGAAUUUUGGACAAUGGGCGAAAGCCUGAUCCAGCAAUGCCGCGUGUGUGAAGAAGGCCUUCGGGUUGUAAAGCACUUUUGUCCGGAAAGAAAUCCUUGGCUCUAAUACAGUCGGGGGAUGACGGUACCGGAAGAAUAAGCACCGGCUAACUACGUGCCAGCAGCCGCGGUAAUACGUAGGGUGCAAGCGUUAAUCGGAAUUACUGGGCGUAAAGCGUGCGCAGGCGGUUUGCUAAGACCGAUGUGAAAUCCCCGGGCUCAACCUGGGAACUGCAUUGGUGACUGGCAGGCUAGAGUAUGGCAGAGGGGGGUAGAAUUCCACGUGUAGCAGUGAAAUGCGUAGAGAUGUGGAGGAAUACCGAUGGCGAAAGGCAGCCCCCCUGGGCCAAUACUGACGCUCAUGCACGAAAGCGUGGGGAGCAAACAGGAUUAGAUACCCUGGUAGUCCACGCCCUAAACGAUGUCAACUAGUUGUUGGGGAUUCAUUUCCUUAGUAACGUAGCUAACGCGUGAAGUUGACCGCCUGGGGAGUACGGUCGCAAGAUUAAAACUUAAAUGAAUUGACGGGGUCAUAGCUGUUUCCU
rnacentral:rRNA from 1 species